rnacentral:rRNA from 1 species
CAUCCGGUCGAUCCUGCCGGAAUCCGACGCUUUCCCCAAGGACACAAGCCAUGCAUGCCCGCACACCCGGGAGGCGGCGGACGGCUCAGGACAACGGUUGCACCCCCCGCGGCGGUCCCUGCUAGCCGGACACCGCUGGCAACCCGGCGCCAAGACGUGCGCGCAAGUGCGGGCGCCCGCGGGCGAGCAGCGUGACGCAGCGACGGCCCGC